rnacentral:rRNA from 1 species
ACCUCAGUAACGGCGAGUGAAGCGGUAACAGCUCAAAUUUGAAAUCUGGGUCUUUCAGGCUCCGAGUUGUAAUUUGUAGAAGAUGCUUCGGGUGCGGCUCCGGUCUAAGUUCCUUGGAACAGGACGUCAUAGAGGGUGAGAAUCCCGUAUGUGAUCGGUUGCUUGCGCCCAUGUGAAGCUCUUUCGACGAGUCGAGUUGUUUGGGAAUGCAGCUCCAAAUGGGUGGUAUAUUUCAUCUAAAGCUAAAUAUUGGCCAGAGACCGAUAGCGCACAAGUAGAGUGAUCGAAAGAUGAAAAGCACUUUGGAAAGAGAGUUAAACAGUACGUGAAAUUGUUGAAAGGGAAGCGCUUGCAACCAGACUUGCGUGUCGUCGAUCAUCCGGGGUUCUCCCCGGUGCACUCGGCUUCACUCAGGCCAGCAUCGGUUUCGGUGGUUGGAUAAAGGCCUUGGGAAUGUAGCUCCUCUCGGGGAGUGUUAUAGCCCUCGGUGCAAUGCAGCCUACCGGGACCGAGGACCGCGCUUCGGCUAGGAUGCUGGCGUAAUGGUUGUAAGCGACCCGUCUUGAAACACGGACCAAGGAGUCUAACAUCUAUGCGAGUGUUUGGGUGUCAAACCCAUACGCGUAAUGAAAGUGAACGGAGGUGAGAACCCUUAAGGGUGCAUCAUCGACCGAUCCUGAUGUCUUCGGAUGGAUUUGAGUAAGAGCAUAGCUGUUGGGACCCGAAAGAUGGUGAACUAUGCCUGAAUAGGGUGAAGCCAGAGGAAACUCUGGUGGAGGCUCGCAGCGGUUCUGACGUGCAAAUCGAUCGUCAAAUUUGGGUAUAGGGGCGAAA